rnacentral:rRNA from 1 species
UACAGAGGUCUCAAGCGUUGUUCGGAUUCAUUGGGCGUAAAGGGUGAGUAGGUGGCGUGGUAAGUCGGGUGUGAAAUUUCGGAGCUUAACUCCGAAACUGCAUUCGAUACUGCUGUGCUUGAGGACUGGAGAGGAGACUGGAAUUUACGGUGUAGCAGUGAAAUGCGUAGAGAUCGUAAGGAAGACCAGUGGCGAAGGCGGGUCUCUGGACAGUUCCUGACACUGAGGCACGAAGGCCAGGGGAGCAAACGGG